ACCUGGGUGGUUCAGUUGCUUGAGCGUCUGACUUCAACUCAGGUCAUGAUCUCAUGGUUCGUGGGUUCAAGCCCCACGUCGGGCU
rnacentral:tRNA from 1 species